UGCGCAGGCGGGCUUGUAAGUCAGUGGUGAAAUUUUGCGGCUUAACCGUAAAACUGCCAUUGAUACUGCAAGUCUUGAAUAUGGUUGAGGUAGGCGGAAUGUGUUGUGUAGCGGUGAAAUGCAUAGAUAUGACACAGAACGCCGAUUGCGAAGGCAGCUUACUAAGCCAUGAUUGACGCUGAGGCACGAAAGCGUGGGUAGCGAACAGGAUUAGAUACCCGAGUAGUCC
rnacentral:rRNA from 1 species